GCCCGGUUAGCUCAAUCGGUAGAGCGUGAGACUCUUAUGACACGAGAUUAAUCUCAAGGUUGCGGGUUCGACCCCCGCAUCGGGCU